UACGUAGGGCGCAAGCGUUGUCCGGAAUUAUUGGGCGUAAAGAGCUCGUAGGUGGCUUGUCACGUCGGGUGUGAAAGCUUGGGGCUUAACUCCAGGUCUGCAUUCGAUACGGGCUGGCUAGAGGUAGGUAGGGGAGAACGGAAUUCCUGGUGUAGCGGUGGAAUGCGCAGAUAUCAGGAGGAACACCGGUGGCGAAGGCGGUUCUCUGGGCAUUACCUGACGCUGAGGAGCGAAAGCAUGGGGAGCGAACAGG
rnacentral:rRNA from 1 species